UACGAGGGGGGCUAGCGUUGCUCGGAAUUACUGGGCGUAAAGCGCACGUAGGCGGCCUCUUAAGUCGGUGGUGAAAUCCUGGAGCUCAACUCCAGAACUGCCUUCGAUACUGGGAGUCUUGAGUCCGGGAGAGGUGAGUGGAACUGCGAGUGUAGAGGUGAAAUUCGUAGAUAUUCGCAAGAACACCAGUGGCGAAGGCGGCUCACUGGCCCGGUACUGACGCUGAGGUGCGAAAGCGUGGGGAGCAAACAGG
rnacentral:rRNA from 1 species